CUUGGGAAAGAAGCAAGGUCCUUGUAUGAGCGCGGCAUGGAAUCUCUUAAAGCCAUGCUGCCCUUGUAUGAUACUGGCUCCGGAACCAUCUAUGACCUCCGCCACUUCAUGCUUGGCAUUGCUCCCAACCUGGCCCGCUGGGACUAUCACACCACCCACAUCAACCAGCUGCAGCUGCUCAGCACCAUCGACGAGUCCCCAAUCUUCAAAGAAUUUGUCAAGAGGUGGAAAAGCUACCUUAAAGGCAGUAGGGCAAAGCACAACUAGAGCUCAAAACCAAAAGUGCGUUCCAGCCUCUUCUGAGCUCCAGGGCUGAGCUGUGUCAGCGGCAGAGUUCAGCAGCACGUUGCACAUUUUUAAAUGCGGUGUGUUCUGGGUUUGUGAGUCACAGCACUGUGAGAAGAGACCCUUAAAGUUAGUCUUCUGAAACAGUUGCAUUCCAUGGGUCAGGUGCUUAGAAAGGUAGGCAAGGAGAGUGCUUGGUCAGUGCACUGAGCACAGAUGUGACCUCCGCCCUGCUCCUCAUGUAGGCCUCCAUGCAGUCUCUCAGUCUUGGGAAGAUGCUGGGAAGUCACUGCUGCCUAGCACUUACCUAAACCUUAGCAUGGAGUGCUUUUAAAAUGUGAUUAUUUAUAUUUGUACUGAAAGCAGGCUUAGAAAUCAGUGUGCUGUGCUGCAGGAAACACAUGCAUAUAGCCUGGAUCGUGGACUCUUUUUUAAAAGUGUUUCUUUCCUGUAGAUUCAUUUCUUGAGAGGGAGUGAGCAUUUGUUCAAUUAUAUAUGGAAAAUAUUUUGAAUUAUGGUUUUCUUGAACUAUGUAUAUCUAAACACAGCCCGUGUUCAGGUUUCACGGUCAUAUACAUAAGCACAACUAAAAUGAAACUUGUUGACUGCACAAGAAAUUACAGACAUGCUAUGUUUUAUGAAACUUGGUCUACAAUCAGUAAAAGUUUGAUAAUCGUCUUCCCACCUCUGCUCCAGUGCAGUUUGUCUUCGUCACUGUCUAGAAGGUUGCACUUCAUUCAUUUCAUACUGUCCUUUAGUAGUUCUGUCUGUUGAGAGGACAUUACUCAGAAUAUUAUAAGCCUAAAUUUGUGACAGACUUAACAGUUUGAAACUAACCAUUGGUACUUCCUCCAUAAAAGAAAAGUACUGGGUUAAGUGUCAUGUUCAGGAGUCACAGUAAAGUUUUCCAUGCCUGGGUUGUCCCCAUUGCUUUUCACGUCAUGGCUUCUGUCCUCACUAUUUCUCUGAAGCUUAAUUUUAAAUGAUUCCAGCAUUGAAACAGAAGAGAUGCUACUUACUAUGUCUGCUGUCUGUGUGCCAUCAGAUCUGUCAGAGUCCUCAUGCUAUGGACAGUGUCUGUGGUAAGGCUUCAGGCAUUAGAUAAAAGCAACAGGGAUUGGUUUUGCUCUGGUAUUUGUUUAAGGGUGUGAUAAUAUGGAGACAAUUGGGUAACAUGAGCCUCACACUUUCUAGGGACAAACAGUGGAGCUUAUCCAUGCUGUUGGUCAGAUGCACGUUUAAGAUGGGGUGGAUGAUCCACCCACACACAUUGUACUUCUACUGAAUUCAGCUAAAAAGUGCUGUUGAAAACUGGAGUGCAUAAACGCGCACGCACAUGUAUACAUAAUGAUACAUAUGUAAACUACAUUAACAUCAAAGGCUGGAAAGAAGGUCUGUACUGAAGACAAUAUUAAACUGUUGAGAAGUAAACUUAGACUCCCGGUUUAUAUGACCACACCUUAAUUUUACCUACAACGUAACUAGCGUGGUCAUUAGGUUCCCCAGUUUUUACCUCUGGUUCUCACACACUAGGUGUUUCAGCAACAUCUGAACAUGCACAUUUUGUCUCAGCAAUAAAAACGAAGACUCCCUUUUUCAGUACCUAUGUUCAAAACAAGCUUGCCCACCUGGGAACACUGUUCACUACAGAUUUGUCACUGGAGUGCUCCCAACUCUGCUUUCUGUUUGCAUACUGGUCUUCAGAUGAGAGGAGUCAGUGAAUCCUGGAACUGAUUUUUGUGACAAACACCAGUGCCUUACCAAUGUGGUUGUCCUUUUUGUUUCUGUUUCUGUUUCUGAGGUAGAGAUGGCAGUUCACUGCUGUUGCAUUUCCACUGCCUUCCACAUUGCAACAGCCACUUGACUUGUUUGUGAUCCCAGAAUUCCCUAAGAGGUCACACAGAGCCUGUGAUAGCACUGUCAGUGCUUGGCUUGUCAGACAUGAGGAUGCCUCUGUUGUCACUUGGCGGUUAACAGAAUGAGACUCUGGCUGCAGGAAGUCUGCCUGUGAGGUGGGGAUCCACUGCAUGUUGACAGGUGGGAGAACCGGGCAUGUGUGAAGGAACACUGCCUGGGACCCAUGCAAUUUUGCUUCCAGAAAACUUCAAAGUUUCCUAGGUUUUUAAAUCAUGUGUUUACUUAUCCUGAGUAUGGAGAGAAUGGGGAGGGUAUUUUAAAUUUUUAUUGUGACUCUUUAACUUUUUUCUUUAAAGGUAAUGGUUUGGUUCACUUAUCUGAGUUAGCUUCCAUGUUGAAUCUUUUGCCAUUUCAGUAGUAAAACAGCCAAAAGUUUCUAGCAAAGGGCAGAUUUGACCCUUUAGGAGUUACUGUAUAUAACAGCUUCAUUCAAGAACCACACAGCAUCUGUGAGCAAGUGCAGAAGUGACACCGCACCCUCCAGAUGCAGGCCUCUGUCUUUGUUAGUGUACAGACUCUUACCAAAAGCUGCUGCUUUGUUCUUGUGAUUGUUUCCUUGCUUCUCCAUUGUACAUGUGGGGUAUAUGCCAUGUGUCAAAUAUGCAAUAAUGUGUUUACCGGAUGCCCUUCUGCAGGGUGGUCCUCUGUAAAGCUGUACAGCCUUUGCAGUUCAAGCACAAUGUGCACAUGUUAGUUUUAUAUACAGCAAAACUUGAUUUUUUCAAAUGGAAAGGUAUUUUUUGUUUCUAUACAAAGUUAAAUGGGUUGUUUGUGCUUAAUGUAAAGCUGCUUUAUAAAAUUGUAAAAUAAAGUUUUUAUCUCAAAAAGAAAUGUACU
rnacentral:lncRNA from 1 species